rnacentral:ncRNA from 1 species
AUUCCAGUGAGAACACCCUAGACAGACUAUGAUUUGAUUAGGUGUUGGUAUCAGGCACAUAUAAUGUAUAGCCCAUGACACCUCGCUUCAGCCACGCCCACAAGGGAUUUCAGCAGUGAUAGACAUUGAACAAUAAGCGCAAGCUUGAACCAGUUAUAGUUAAGAGAGUUGGUUAAUCUCGUGCCAGCCACCGCGGUUAUACGAGUAACACACAUUAAUACUCACCGGCGUAAAGAGUGAUUUAAAAUAAUCUUCAUUACUAAAAUUAAGACCUCGUCAAGCUGUUAUACGCACUUACGAACUAAAAAUUCAAUAACGAAAGUGAUUUUAUAUUAAACAGAGCUUUUGACCUCACGACAGUUAUUACCCAAACUAGGAUUAGACACCCUACUAUGUUUAACCGUAAAUACAGAUAAUAACCAUUACCUUUUAUCCGCCCGAGUACUACAAGCGCUAGCUUAAAACCCAAAGGACUUGGCGGUGCCUCAGACCCACCUAGAGGAGCCUGUUCUAUAACCGAUAUUCCUCGUUAAACCUCACCACUUCUUGCCAUUACCGUCUAUAUACCGCCGUCGUCAGCUCACCCUGUGAAGGUAUAAAAAUAAGCUUAAUGAAUUUUAUUCAACACGUCAGGUCGAGGUGUAGCGAAUGAAGUGGGAAGAAAUGGGCUACAUUUUCUUUUAAGAAAACACGGACAGUAAAAUGAAAAAUUACUAACAAGGUGGAUUUAGCAGUAAGAAUACUUUAGAAAACUACCCUGAAACUGGCUCUGAGGCGCGCACACACCGCCCGUCACUCUCCUUAAUUCAUCCUUCACUUUUAUAAAUAAAUUCCAUAAAUAAAGAGGAGGCAAGUCGUAACAUGGUAAGUGUACUGGAAAGUGCACUUAGAAUAAC